rnacentral:misc_RNA from 1 species
CGCUACUUGCUGAUGUCCGUGUAUGUCUGCCAGCUCGCGUUUCUUAUGUCUGCGCCGUCACCCUGUCUGCGUCUAUGUCUUGAUCUCUCCUCGCGUUCCCUUUACACGAAACGCGCCUACCGACGUGCUCGGUGAAUGCAAUAGCUGGGAGAUGCUCGUUGAUACGUGGCCGUUCUCUGCCAUCGCGCAUGAGCUAAACUGCGCUCUACCCAAGCCCACCACCCACCACCCGCCCCGCGGGUGGCCUCACAGCAGCUACCAUCGUGCCGGUCGCCACGUGCUGCAUCCUCCUCGGGGUGGCUCCGGCUCCCCACCACCAGCAGGGCAGUGUGGGGGCCGGGUGUGGGGUACGCUCGAGUCACGCCGACACGCUGCCCAUCACAUGGAUGGCGCAAGCGUGUUCACGGCCGCGGGUCGCACCGACGCAGCGCCGUCCAGGACCUGGCCGCCGGCGUCAGUGGCGAUGCAUCGCUCUGACCUCCCCUACGGCGUCGGCGCUUGACCCUGUCACGACCGGAAGCGGCUCCGCAUUGGGCAGGACUAGAGGGGGUGGGGUGCCGCUCCGCCUCCCCGCAGGGGGAGAGAGUGGGGGCACCGGGUCCCGAGAUGCCACGCAGUGUGUGUGGGUAUGUUUGUGUGUACCGGUCAUGAGGGACAUCCGAUGAACAGUGAACGAAAAAUGAGC